rnacentral:rRNA from 1 species
GGCUCAGAUUGAACGCUGGCGGCAGGCCUAACACAUGCAAGUCGAGCGGAUGAGAGGAGCUUGCUCCUGGAUUCAGCGGCGGACGGGUGAGUAAUGCCUAGGAAUCUGCCUGGUAGUGGGGGACAACGUUUCGAAAGGAACGCUAAUACCGCAUACGUCCUACGGGAGAAAGCAGGGGACCUUCGGGCCUUGCGCUAUCAGAUGAGCCUAGGUCGGAUUAGCUAGUUGGUGAGGUAAUGGCUCACCAAGGCGACGAUCCGUAACUGGUCUGAGAGGAUGAUCAGUCACACUGGAACUGAGACACGGUCCAGACUCCUACGGGAGGCAGCAGUGGGGAAUAUUGGACAAUGGGCGAAAGCCUGAUCCAGCCAUGCCGCGUGUGUGAAGAAGGUCUUCGGAUUGUAAAG